UUCAGCUUACACCUGAAAAAUGUCUGCCAACACCAGAUCGUCUUGAUGCCAAACUCUAGCCCAACCGACAUGACCUGGAAUAACAAAGCUACUCCCUACACUUAACUAAAGCAUUUACCAGUCCCAGUAUAGGCGAUAGAAAAGACACCAUUGGCGCGAUAGAGACCACGUACCGUAAGGGAAAGAUGAAAUAGCAGUGAAAACUAAGCUAUAAACAGCAAAGAUCAACCCUUGUACCUUUUGCAUCAUGGUCUAGCAAGAAAAACCAAGCAAAAUGAAUUUAAGUUUGCCACCCCGAAACCCAAGCGAGCUACUUACGAGCAGCUAUUAUUGAGCGAACCCGUCUCUGUGGCAAAAGAGUGGGAUGACUUGUUAGUAGAGGUGAAAAGCCAAUCGAGCUGGGUGAUAGCUGGUUGCCUGUGAAACGAAUCUAAGUUCACUCUUAAUUCUUCUCCAAGGAACCCCACAAACCCUAAUGAAGCGAAUUAAGGGCUAUUUAAAGGAGGUACAGCUCCUUUAAAAAAGAAUACAAUCUCCACGAGCGGAUAAGUAAAACCCCCAACCAAACUGUGGGCCCUCAAGCAGCCAUCAACAAAGAGUGCGUUAAAGCUCCGUACCAAAAAUAUAAAAACCUCACGACUCCCUCCCCAUUAACAGGCCAACCUAUAUUCAAAUAGGAGAAUUAAUGCUAGAAUGAGUAACCAGGGUUCUCCCUCUACGACGCAAGCUUACAUCCGCACAUUAUUAACAAACUACCAAUAUACGACAAAUCAAACAAGCGCAGUAUUAAACAUAUUGUUAACCCGACAAAGGAGCGUCCACUAAGAAAGAUUAAA
rnacentral:rRNA from 1 species